UACGAAGGGUGCAACCGUUGUUCGGAUUUACUGGGCGUAAAGGGCGCGUAGGCGGCCUCCGCAAGUCAGUUGUGAAAUCUCCGGGCUUAACCCGGAAAGGUCAACUGAUACUGCGGGGCUAGAGUGCAGAAGGGGCAACCGGAAUUCUCGGUGUAGCGGUGAAAUGCGUAGAUAUCGAGAGGAACACCUGCGGCGAAGGCGGGUUGCUGGGCUGACACUGACGCUGAAGCGCGAAAGCUAGGGGAGCGAACGGG
rnacentral:rRNA from 1 species